GUCUCAUCAGUUUAUAGAGGUGAGUUCACAGGAUGUUUGUUUCAUCAGUCAUCAUGUUUUCUGCUGCUCUGCUGCUGAUCUUGGCAGCUGGAGGUGUGAAGUGUGAACAGCUGACUCAGCCAGCCUCUGUGACUGUGCAGCCAGGUCAGCGUCUGACCAUCAGCUGUCAGGUCUCUUAUUCUCUCAGUGGCUACUGGACACACUGGAUCAGACAGCCUGCAGGAAAAGGACUGGAAUGGAUCGGUGAAGGAUGCUGUGGAAGCUCCACUAACUACAAAGAUUCUUUCAGAAACAAGUUCAGCAUUUCAAUGGAAACUUCCAGUAACACAGUGACUCUGAAUGGAGAGAACAUGCAGCCUGAAGACUCUGCUGUGUAUUACUGUACCAGAAGGCCACAGUGACACAAACAUCAGAACAGCUGAACAAAAACCCCUCAGUCUGAAAAGCUGUAGUAUUAAAUAUAAACCAGAGGAGGCACUCAUGGACCACCUAUAUUUUUACUACAUUAUAGGAAAAUGUCUUGUGUAUGUUUGUUAAUGACAUUUAGUGUUUGUUGUUUACUAGUUGUUUAAAAAGGUUAAAGGUUGUCCCAUUAAAGUCUGAUUAAAAAUUCAGAUUUUAAUUUAUU